UUACCCCUACGGGGCGCAGCAGUGAGGAAUAUUGGUCAAUGGCCGAGAGGCUGAACCAGCCAAGUCGCGUGAGGGAAGACGGCCCUACGGGUUGUAAACCUCUUUUGCCGGGGAGCAGUGGUCCGGACGCGUCCGGACCGGGAGAGUACCCGGAGAAAAAGCAUCGGCUAACUCCGUGCCAGCAGCCGCGGUAAUACGGAGGAUGCGAGCGUUAUCCGGAUUUAUUGGGUUUAAAGGGUGCGUAGGCGGGCAUUUAAGCCGGCGGUCAAAUGUCGGGGCUCAACCCCGGCCUGCCGUCGGAACUG
rnacentral:rRNA from 1 species